GGCCUCGUAGCUCAGGUGAACAGAGCGUUGGUUGUACUAAAGCCUUUACCCUGCUAACGUGGGUUCGAAUCUCACCGAGGCCG
rnacentral:tRNA from 1 species